rnacentral:rRNA from 1 species
AUUGAACGCUGGCGGCAGGCCUAACACAUGCAAGUCGAGCGGAGCGGCGGACGGGUGAGUAAUGCCUAGGAAUCUGCCUGGUAGUGGGGGAUAACGUCCGGAAACGGGCGCUAAUACCGCAUACUAUCAGAUGAGCCUAGGUCGGAUUAGCUAGUUGGUGGGGUAAAGGCCUACCAAGGCGACGAUCCGUAACUGGUCUGAGAGGAUGAUCAGUCAGACGGACAUUGACACGCUGUCUAGAAUCCUACUUGAGGCAGCCGUGGGGAAUAUUGGACAAUGGGCGAAAGCCUGAUCCAGCCGUUCCGCGUGUGUGAAGAAGGUCUUCGGAUUGUAAAGCACUUUAAGUUGUGAGGCGUUACUAACAGAAUAAGCACCGGCUAACUUCGUGCCAGCAGCCGCGGUAAUAC